CCUACCGGGAGGCAGCAGUCGAGAAUUUUUGACAAUGGGGGAAACCCUGAUCGAGCGACGCCGCGUGGAGGAUGAAGGUCUUCGGAUUGUAAACUCCUGUCAUUGGGGAACAAGGUGCAUACGUUAACUGCGUGUGUAUUGAUAGUACCCGAAGAGGAGGGGACGGCUAACUCUGUGCCAGCAGCCGCGGUAAUACAGAGGUCCCGAGCGUUGUUCGGAUUCAUUGGGCGUAAAGGGUGCGUAGGCGGCGCGGUAAGUCGGGUGUGAAAUCUCGGAGCUUAACUCCGAAACUGCAUUCGAUACUGCCGUGCUUGAGGACUGGAGAGGAGACUGGAAUUUACGGUGUAGCGGUGAAAUGCGUAGAUAUCGUAAGGAAGACCAGUGGCGAAGGCGGGUCUCUGGACAGUUCCUGACGCUGAGGCGCGAAGGCCAGGGGAGCAAACGGGAUUAGAUACCCCGGUAGUCCUGGCAGUAAACGGUGCACGUUUGGUGUGGGAGGAUUCGACCCCUUCUGCGCCGGAGCUAACGCGUUAAACGUGCCGCCUGGGGAGUACGGUCGCAAGAUUAAAACUCAAAGAAAUUGACGGGGGCCCGCACAAGCGGUGGAGUAUGUGGCUCAAUUCGAUACAACGCGAAGAACCUUACCAGGCCUUGACAUGCAUCUCUAAGUUGGUGAAAGCCAGCGAGUCCCGAAAGGGACAAUUUGCACAGGUGCUGCAUGGCUGUCGUCAGCUCGUGUCGUGAGAUGUUGGGUUAAGUCCCGCAACGAGCGCAACCCCUGUGAACUGUUGCCACCGAGCCGUGAGGCUCGAGCACUCUGUUCAGACUGCCCCGCUUUAACGGGGAGGAAGGUGGGGACGACGUCAAGUCAGUAUGGCCCUUACGGCCUGGGCUGCACACGUACUACAAUGCCCAGCACAGAACGAUCCAAGACCGCAAGGUGGAGGAAAUCACUAAAACUGGGCCCAGUUCAGAUUGGAGUCUGCAACUCGACUCCAUGAAGCCGGAAUCGCUAGUAAUGGCGUAUCAGCUACGACGCCGUG
rnacentral:rRNA from 1 species